UACGUAGGGUGCGAGCGUUGUCCGGAUUUAUUGGGCGUAAAGAGCUCGUAGGCGGUUUGUCGCGUCGGCCGUGAAAUCUCCACGCUUAACGUGGAGCGUGCGGUCGAUACGGGCAGACUUGAGUUCGGUAGGGGAGACUGGAAUUCCUGGUGUAGCGGUGAAAUGCGCAGAUAUCAGGAGGAACACCGGUGGCGAAGGCGGGUCUCUGGGCCGAUACUGACGCUGAGGAGCGAAAGCUGGGGGAGCAAACGGG
rnacentral:rRNA from 1 species